GAUGAACGCUAGCUACAGGCUUAACACAUGCAAGUCGAGGGGUAACGAGAGGAAAGCUUGCUUUCCUUGUCGACGACCGGCGCACGGGUGAGUAACGCGUAUCCAACCUGCCCCCAACUAGGGAAUAACCUUGCGAAAGUAAGACUAAUACCCUAUAAUUUCCUCAGAUGCCAUCUGACGAGGAAUAAAGAUUUAUCGGUUGUGGAUGGGGAUGCGUCUGAUUGGUUUGUUGGCGGGGUAACGGCCAACCAAGGCAACGAUCAGUAGGGGUUCUGAGAGGAAGGUCCCCCAAAUUGGAACUGAGACACGGUCCAAACUCCUACGGGAGGCAGCAGUGAGGAAUAUUGGUCAAUGGGCGGAAGCCUGAACCAGCCAAGUAGCGUGCAGGAUGACGGCCCUAUGGGUUGUAAACUGCUUUUAUACAGGAAUAAAGUUAGCCACGUGUGGUUAUUUGUAGGUACUGUAUGAAUAAGGACCGGCUAAUUCCGUGCCAGCCGCCGCCGUAA
rnacentral:rRNA from 1 species